GAUGAAGAACGCAGCGAAAUGCGAUAAGUAAUGUGAAUUGCAGAAUUCAGUGAAUCAUCGAAUCUUUGAACGCACCUUGCGCCCUUUGGCCAUUCCGAAGGGCAUGCCUGUUUGAGUAUCAUGAACACCUCAACUCUUCAUGGUUUUCCAUGAUGAGCUUGGACUUUGGGGGUCUUGCUGGCCUGUGGGUCGGCUCCUCUCAAAUGAAUCAGCUUGCCGGUUUUUGGUGGGCAUCACAGGUGUGAUAACUAUCUACGCUUGUGGUUUUCCACCAGGGUAACCUUCAGCAGUGGAGGUUCACUGGAGCUUACAAAUGUCUCACCUCUGUGAGGACAGCCCUUUGAAUGUUUGAUCUCAAAUCAGGUAGGACUACCCGCUGAACUUAAGCAUAUCAAUAAGCGGAGGA
rnacentral:misc_RNA from 1 species